ensembl:ncRNA F47C8.5 ncRNA
CAUUUAGUGAUGAUCGUGUUGUUUUUUUUGUAGGGUAGAAAAAAUAGAAGACGAGUAACAGAGAGGAACGAGGCGACAACCGCCGUUUGAAUCAAAACAUGACGAGCAUCAAGAGGGGCAG